GAGCUUCGUUCACUUCUUCGAACGAAGGAAGCUUCGUUCAUCUCUUUGAACGAAACGAGUUUCGUUCACCUCUUCGAACGAAGCUCAGUAUGAUGUGGUUCCAGAUCUUCUUUUUCGAUUCUUCUGAGCUUAGUAUGGCGUAGAUUGGAGUUCUAUUGCUUCAAUUUCUUUUUCUUUCUUGUUUGAUUUGGUGAUUUUUGGAUUGAUAUGCGCUGCAUGAGACUCGAUUGGAGCUUGGUGAGAUCUGUGAUCUUCGAUUUUUGAGAUUCGUUUUGAUUGUGGAUUUGCUCUUGUGUUUUGGUUUGAGCUGUGGUGAAAAAUUUGUGUUAUUCGAUUUAAUUGAGAGAUAUAUAUGGAUGAUUCGAGAGUGGCGAAGUGCACCUAUGGUGCUGGAACUUUAAUGCUUAUUUUGUCUUCAACUACUACUUUUGAUUGGUUGUCCAACGAGUUGUGUAGUAGGUUUAAGCUUAAGUUAGGUCAUUUUGAGUUGAGGUACUCUUUUAUGGAUUGCUCCAAUUGUUUGUUGGAAUCGGACGAUGAUUUGAAAAUCAUGUUUAUGGUAUGUGGACUGAUGAAGGAUCAAUUAAUUCACAUUGCUGUUAGGGAUAAGGCUGUAGUGAAUCAUGUUCAAACUGU